GACGAACGCUGGCGGCGUGCCUGACACAUGCAAGUCGGACGGUUCUUGUAUCUUCAAGCUUGCUUGCAGGUGCAAGGAUAGUGGCGGACGGGUGAGUAACGCGUGAACAUCUACCCAUUGGAGGGGGACAACCCGUCGAAAGGCGGGCUAAUACCGCGUAAGCCGCGAGGUGAGAGGCUGCCUAUUGGUGGCCGCCGAUGGAUGGGUUCGCGUCCUAUCAGCUGGUUGGUGGGGUAACGGCCUACCAAGGCGAAGACGGGUAGCCGGUCUGAGAGGAUGGCCGGCCACACUGGAACUGAGACACGGUCCAGACUCCUACGGGAGGCAGCAGUAGGGAAUAUUGGGCAAUGGGGGAGACCCUGACCCAGCGACGCCGCGUGAGGGAUGAAGGUUUUCGGAUCGUAAACCUCUGUUGUACGGGAAGAAGGAUGUGACGGUACCGUACGAGAAAGCCCCGGCAAACUACGUG
rnacentral:rRNA from 1 species